rnacentral:rRNA from 1 species
GUCUAGUAUAAGCAUCUAUACGGUGAAACUGCGAAUGGCUCAUUAAAUCAGUCAUAAUUUAUUUGAUAGUACCAUUCUACUUGGAUAACCGUGGUAAUUCUAGAGCUAAUACAUGCUAAAAACCCCGACUUCGGAAGGGGUGUAUUUAUUAGAUAAAAAACCAAUGCCCUUCGGGGCUCCUUGGUGAUUCAUGAUAACUUAACGAAUCGCAUGGCCUUGUGCCGGCGAUGGUUCAUUCAAAUUUCUGCCCUAUCAACUUUCGAUGGUAGGAUAGUGGCCUACCAUGGUUUCAACGGGUAACGGGGAAUUAGGGUUCUAUUCCGGAGAGGGAGCCUGAGAAACGGCUACCACAUCCAAGGAAGGCAGCAGGCGCGCAAAUUACCCAAUCCCGACACGGGGAGGUAGUGACAAUAAAUACUGAUGCAGAGCUCUUUUGGGUUUUGCAAUUGGAAUGAGUACAAUUUAAAUCCCUUAACGAGGAACAAUUGGAGGGCAAGUCUGGUGCCAGCAGCCGCGGUAAUUCCAGCUCCAAUAGCGUAUAUUAAAGUUGUUGCAGUUAAAAAGCUCGUAGUUGAACCUUGGGCCUGGCUGGCCGGUCCGCCUCACCGCGUGCACUGGUCCGGCCGGGCCUUUCCUUCUGGGGAGCCGCAUGCCCUUCACUGGGUGUGUCGGGGAACCAGGACUUUUACUUUGAAAAAAUUAGAGUGUUCAAAGCAGGCCUAUGCUCGAAUACAUUAGCAUGGAAUAAUAGAAUAGGACGUGUGGUUCUAUUUUGUUGGUUUCUAGGACCGCCGUAAUGAUUAAUAGGGAUAGUCGGGGGCAUCAGUAUUCAAUUGUCAGAGGUGAAAUUCUUGGAUUUAUUGAAGACUAACUACUGCGAAAGCAUUUGCCAAGGAUGUUUUCAUUAAUCAGUGAACGAAAGUUAGGGGAUCGAAGACGAUCAGAUACCGUCGUAGUCUUAACCAUAAACUAUGCCGACUAGGG